rnacentral:misc_RNA from 1 species
GAUGAAGAACGCAGCGAAAUGCGAUAAGUAAUGUGAAUUGCAGAACUCAGUGAAUCAUCGAAUCUUUGAACGCACAUUGCGCCCCCUGGCCUUCCGGGGGGCAUGCCUGUCCGAGCGUCAUUGCUGCCCUCAAGCACGGCUUGUGUGUUGGGCCUCCGUCCUCCUCCCGGGGGACGGGCCCGAAAGGCAGCGGCGGCACCGCGUCCGGUCCUCGAGCGUAUGGGGCUUCGUCACCCGCUCUUGUAGGCCCGGCCGGCGCUUGCCGACACAUCAAUCUUUUUUCCAGGUUGACCUCGGAUCAGGUAGGGAUACCCGCUGAACUUAAGCAUAUCAAUAAGCGGAGGA